CUACUGUUAUAGCGCCACCUAUGGUCUGAUCUCCAUGAAACUUUGCAUGCUUGUUAAGAGUCACCUGUUACAUGAUUUCACUGAGUUUCAUAAAGUUUUGAGUUUUCCUUUAGGUUUUAUAGGCUUUGGGGUAUGUUUGGCCACACCCCUUUUUCUAAAUUACCCUUUUACAGCUAACCAAAGGACAAAAUUCAACAUUUUUUUAAUAAUUAUUGAUCUAGAGAGUCCACAGAAUAUUACUGCAGUGGUUUGGUUCCGAUCGGACAAAAAACCUAGGACUAGUUCGCAAAAGUAGGUUUUUAACAUAUUUGUGAAUAACAAUUGAAUGAUUUGAUUGACAGCAAUGGUUCUUGAGGCAAAGUUGUGCAUUAUGAGGAGAUCUAUCAAAUGAUAUGCAUAUUGUGUUGAUAUGUGAAACACCACGUGAUUACAGAGCCAUAAAACUCGUUAGCGCCAACUAGUGGCCGAUUUCUUUCAAAAUUCUUACAGACCUUAAGGUUCAUGAGUCGAACGUACCCAGUGAGUUUCGUUCCGAUCAACAUCCGUUAACCCUUUCAAAUAGGUGCUUAAAUUUGUUUGGCCAAUGGCGGCCAUGUUUUUUGAGAUAUGCAAAUGUCCUCAUAGGUACUUGUGCCCCUUCAGACCAAGACACUGCAUACCGAUUUUCAAGUCGAUCGAGCCAACGGUUGCCUAGUUAUAGCAAUUUAUGUGUUUUUUCUAUCUUAUAGCGCCCCCAAGUGGCAGAGAUGCGCAAUUUUUUUGA